CCUACGGGAGGCAGCAGUGGGGAAUAUUGGGCAAUGGACGCAAGUCUGACCCAGCAACGCCGCGUGAAGGAUGAAGGCUUUCGGGUUGUAAACUUCUUUUAUAAGGGAAGAGCAGAGUGCGGUUACUCUUGGAUAAGGCACCGCUAACUACGUGCCCGCAGCCGCGGUAAUACGUAGGGAGCAAGCGUUUUCCGGAUUUACUGGGUGUAAAGGGCGGGCAGGCGGGAAGAUAAGUUAGAUGUGAAAUCCCGGGGCUCAACCUCGGCACUGCCUCUGAAACUGUUGUGCUUGAGUAUAGGAGCGGUAAGCGGAAUGCAUGGUGUAGCGGUGAAAUGCAUAGAGAUAAGGAAGAACACCAGUGGCGAAGGCAGAUUACCGAACGGCAACUGACGUUGAGGCGCGAAAGCGUGGGGAGCAAACAGGAUUAGAUACCCGUGUAGUC
rnacentral:rRNA from 1 species